AGUGAACGCUGGCGGUAGGCCUAACACAUGCAAGUCGAACGGCAGCACAGUAAGAGCUUGCUCUUACGGGUGGCGAGUGGCGGACGGGUGAGGAAUACAUCGGAAUCUACUUUUUCUUGGGGGAUAACGUAGGUAAACUUACGCUAAUACCGCAUACGACCUACGGGUGAAAGCAGGGGAUCUUCCGACCUUGCGCGAUUGAAUGAGCCGAUGUCGGGUUAGCUAGUUGGCGGGGUAAAGGCCCACCAAGGCGACGAUCCGUAGCUGGUCUGAGAGGAUGAUCAGCCACACUGGAACUGAGACACGGUCCAGACUCCUACGGGAGGCAGCAGUGGGGAAUAUUGGACAAUGGGCGAAAGCCUGAUCCAGCCAUACCGCGUGGGUGAAGAAGGCCUUCGGGUUGUAAAGCCCUUUUGUUGGGAAAGAAAAGCAGCAGGUUAAUACCCCGCUGUUCUGACGGUACCCAAAGAAUAAGCACCGGCUAACUUCGU
rnacentral:rRNA from 1 species